rnacentral:lncRNA from 1 species
GCCCCGCUCGCUGCCCCCGCCCGCCUCUGCCCAGGUGAGCCUUUCCCCCGCCCGGGCAGGUGCAGCUUCGGUCCUUGGCCCUCGAAGCCCUUUGCGCUGGCACCGGGCGCGCAGGCCCAACGGCAGGACCUGUAAGGGGAGGAGCAGGCGCGCGGACUCCGGCUUCAAGAGGCGCUCGUUUCCUUUCGUUCACCGGCCCUUGGCGUUUUGUUACAAAAACAGAGAUCGUGGGAGCAAGACCCUGAGGACUAACGUCCAGAUCACAGCAAGAGGAUCCCCCCUUUGCUGAAUUAUCAUCUGCAGAUUGAGGUCAACGGUGAACCUUCAGGACACAUCGUCGUGAGGUUGGUGCCUGUCCCCUGGUGUCGUUUUCCUUGCACGCCCACAAAAGCUAGUCUGAAUCUUCCCAUAUUGCAGGCGAAGCGUGGGCUGCAUGGACUAGGCCUGAGGCCUCCAACAAUCUGGGGAAAUAUUUCUUUGUGAACUUUCAGUGACUGAAUUGCAUCAUGUAGGCCUGUUGAUAAGGCCCGAGAGCCCUCGGGACUGAGUUUUAAGAGCUUCCCGA